rnacentral:rRNA from 1 species
CGCCUUGUGACAAAAUAUACAAGGUCCAGCCUGCCCAGUGAUUUAUUUAACGGCCGCGGUACCCUAACCGUGCGAAGGUAGCACAAUCACUUGUUCCUUAAAUAGGGACUAGUAUGAAUGGCAUCACGAGGGUUAUUCUGUCUCCCCCUUUUAAUCAGUGAAACUGAUCUCCCCGUGAAGAAGCGGGGAUAUCAAUAUAAGACGAGAAGACCCCAUGGAGCUUUAAACUCAGAAACACCAGCUAUUUUUAAACCAAACCAAUACGCCUCCCUGAUUUCUAGUUUUCGGUUGGGGUGACCACGGAGUACAACACAACCUCCUUGAUGAAAGGAACUAUUUCCUUAUUUAAGAACUACAGUUCUAAAAAUCAAUACAUUGACAAAAAUUGAUCCAAAUUAUUUUGAUCAACGAACCAAGUUACCCUGGGGAUAACAGCGCAAUCCAUUUCAAGAGCUCAUAUCGACAAAUGGGUUUACGACCUCGAUGUUGGAUCAGGGUAUCCCAGUGGUGCAGCCGCUACUAAAGGUUCGUUUGUUCAACGAUUAAAACCCU